UGGCGGACGGGUGAGUAACGCGUAGGGAUCUAUCCUUGGGUGGGGGGACAACCGUGGGAAACUACGGCUAAUACCGCAUGACGACUGAGGUUCAAAGCUUGUGAGAGCGCCUGGGGAGGAGCCUGCGUACGAUUAGCUAGUUGGUGGGGUAAAGGCCUACCAAGGCGACGAUCGUUAGCUGGUCUGAGAGGAUGAUCAGCCACAUUGGGACUGAGACACGGCCCAA
rnacentral:rRNA from 1 species